rnacentral:rRNA from 1 species
GACGAACGCUGGCGGCGUGCUUAACACAUGCAAGUCGAACGGAAAGGCCCUGCUUUUGUGGGGUGCUCGAGUGGCGAACGGGUGAGUAACACGUGAGUAACCUGCCCUUGACUUUGGGAUAACUUCAGGAAACUGGGGCUAAUACCGGAUAGGAGCUCCUGCUGCAUGGUGGGGGUUGGAAAGUUUCGGCGGUUGGGGAUGGACUCGCGGCUUAUCAGCUUGUUGGUGGGGUAGUGGCUUACCAAGGCUUUGACGGGUAGCCGGCCUGAGAGGGUGACCGGCCACAUGGGGACUGAGAUACGGCCCAGACUCCUACGGGAGGCAGCAGUGGGGAAUAUUGCACAAGGGGCGGAGGCCUGAUGCAGCAACGCCGCGGGCGGGAUGACGGCCUUCGGGUUGUAAACGGCUUUCGCCUGUGACGAAGCGUGAGUGACGGGAAUGGGGAAAGAAGCACCGGCUAAUUACGU